rnacentral:rRNA from 1 species
GACGAACGCUGGCGGCGUGCUUAACACAUGCAAGUCGAACGGAAAGGCCCUGCUCUUGUGGGGUGCUCGAGUGGCGAACGGGUGAGUAACACGUGAGUAACCUGCCCUUGACUUUGGGAUAACUUCAGGAAACUGGGGCUAAUACCGGAUAGGAGCUCCUGCUGCAUGGUGGGGGUUGGAAAGUUUCGGCGGUUGGGGAUGGACUCGCGGCUUAUCAGCUUGUUGGUGGGGUAGUGGCUUACCAAGGCUUUGACGGGUAGCCGGCCUGAGAGGGUGACCGGCCACAUUGGGACUGGGAUACGGCCCAGACUCCUACGGGAGGCAGCGGUGGGGAUUAUUGCACAAUGGGCGGAAGCCUGAUGCAGCAACGCCGCGUGCGGGAUGACGGCCUUCGGGUUGUAAACCGCUUUCGCCUGUGACGAAGCGUGAGUGACGGUAAUGGGUAAAGAAGCACCGGCUAACUACGUG